AUUGAACGCUGGCGGCAGGCCUAACACAUGCAAGUCGAGCGGAUGAAGGGAGCUUGCUCCUGGAUUCAGCGGCGGACGGGUGAGUAAUGCCUAGGAAUCUGCCUGGUAGUGAGGGAUAACGUCCGGAAACGGGCGCUAAUACCGCAUACGUCCUGAGGGAGAAAGUGGGGGAUCUUCGGACCUCACGCUAUCAGAUGAGCCUAGGUCGGAUUAGCUAGUUGGUGGGGUAAAGGCCUACCAAGGCGACGAUCCGUAACUGGUCUGAGAGGAUGAUCAGUCACACUGGAACUGAGACACGGUCCAGACUCCUACGGGAGGCAGCAGUGGGGAAUAUUGGACAAUGGGCGAAAGCCUGAUCCAGCCAUGCCGCGUGUGUGAAGAAGGUCUUCGGAUUGUAAAGCACUUUAAGUUGGGAGGAAGGGCAGUAAGUUAAUACCUUGCUGCUUUGACGUUACCAACAGAAUAAGCACCGGCUAACUUCGUG
rnacentral:rRNA from 1 species